rnacentral:rRNA from 1 species
CGGGGGGGCAAGCGUUGUUCGGAAUUACUGGGCGUAAAGGGCUCGUAGGCGGCCAACUAAGUCCGACGUGAAAUCCCCAGGCUUAACCUGGGAACUGCGUCGGAUACUGGAUGGCUUGAAUUCGGGAGAGGGAUGCAGAAUCCCAGGUGUAGCGGUGAAAUGCGUAGAUAUCUGGAGGAAUACCGGUGGCGAAGGCGGCAUCCUGGACCGACAUUGACGCUAAUGAGCGAAAGCUAGGGGAGCAAACGGGAUUAGAUACCCCGGUAGUCCUAGCCCUAAACGAUGAAUGCUUGGUGUGGCGGGUAUCGAUCCCUGCCGUGCCGAAGCUAACGCAUUAAGCAUUCCGCCUGGGGAGUACGGUCGCAAGGCUG